GACGAACGCUGGCGGCGUGCUUAACACAUGCCAGUCGAACGGAAAGGCCCUGCUUUUGUGGGGUGCUCGAGUGGCGAACGGGUGAGUAACACGUUAGUAACCUGCCCUUGACUUUGGGAUAACUUCAGGAAACUGGGGCUAAUACCGGAUAGGAGCUCCUGCUGCAUGGUGGGGGUUGGAAAGUUUCGGCGGUUGGGGAUGGACUCGCGGCUUAUCAGCUUGUUGGUGGGGUAGUGGCUUACCAAGGCUUUGACGGGUAGCCGGCCUGAGAGGGUGACCGGCAACAUUGGGACUGAGAUACGGCCCAGACUCCUACGGGAGGCAGCAGUGGGGAAUAUUGCACAAUGGGCGGAAGCCUGAUGCAGCAACGCCGCGUGCGGGAUGACGGCCUUCGGGUUGUAAACCGCUUUCGCCUGUGACGAAGCGUGAGUGACGGUAAUGGGUAAAGAAGCACCGGCUAACUACGUG
rnacentral:rRNA from 1 species